UCCCUUGUGGCUCAGCUGGUAAAGAAUCCACCUGCAAUGCGGAAGACCCGGGUUCAAUCCCUGGGUAGGGAA
rnacentral:tRNA from 1 species